CGUGGCGGCGGGAGAGUAACACGUGGAUAUCUGCCCUAGACCCGGGAUAGCUGCGGGAAACUGCAGGUAAUACCGGAUAAUGUCUCCGGACCAAAGGUGUGAUUCCGUCUAGGGAUGAGUCCGCGUCCUACUAGCUUGUUGGUGGGGGUAAUGGCCUACCAAGGCAAUGAUGGGUAGCGGGUGUGAGAGCAUGGCCCGUCUCACUGGGACUGAGACACUGCCCAGACACCUACGGGUGGCUGCAGUCGAGAUAUCUUCCGCAAUGGACGAAAGUCUGACGGAGCGACGCCGCGUGCGGGAUGAAGGCCCUCGGGUUGUAAACCGCUGUCAGUUGGGAGGAAAUGCAUAAGGGUUCUCUCUUAUGUUUGACCGAUCUUCAGAGGAAGUCCGGGCUAAGUUCGUGCCAGCAGCCGCGGUAAGACGAACCGGACGAACGUUAUUCGGAAUUACUGGGCUUAAAGAGUGCGUAGGCGGCUUGGUAGGUUGGGUGUGAAAUCCCACAGCUCAACUGUGGAACUGCGCUCAAAACCCCCAAGCUUGAGGAAGGCAGAGGUGAGCGGAACUGAUGGUGGAGCGGUGAAAUGCGUUGAUAUCAUCAGGAACACCGGUGGCGAAGGCGGCUCACUGGGCCUUUUCUGACGCUGAGGCACGAAGCUAGGGUAGCGAACAGGAUUAGAUACCCUGGUAGUCCUAGCUGUA
rnacentral:rRNA from 1 species